rnacentral:lncRNA from 1 species
CUCAGGAAUGCGCGCCGCCCGCCUGCCCGGCCCAAGUCACCUCCUCCCGGAAGGCCGCCGGGCUCCCUUCUCCCCAGGGUCCGCCUGCGGGGACACCUGGGGCUGGGGUCUCCAGCGCCUCGGCCCGACGGAGGACCUGGUGGGAGCGGACCGCAGUGUCAGCGCUGGGCGGCUCCGCCUCUCCCUGGCUCCAGAUUGAGGCUUGAGCUGUCCUGCCCUGAUUUGUGCUGAGAAGAGGGUCUCCUCCUGCAGUGGACUCUGUCAGACCCCACCUAGACCCGCUCCAAGACCCAGACACUCAUCGCCAGCUGCCAGGAGCACCAGUCACAGCUGGCUCAGAGCUGAAACCCCCCGCACCCAGGAGUCACCUUCAGUGGGGAGCAUGCCCCAGUCUGCCUCUGCAGGCAAAUCCCCAGCUCAGAGCCUGUGUCCAGGAAUCCCCAGGCUCUCAGCCCACCCUGGCCUCCUGAGUGAGGUCAUCAGAAGGAUGAUCAGAGGGGGGUCGAUACACGUGUGCUCAGUGUCAGGCCUCUGAGCCCAAGCCUGCACGUAUACAUCCAGAUGAAGCAAGUGAAGAAUCACAAAAGAAGUGAAAAUGGCCGGUUCCUGCCUUAACUGAUGACAUUACCUUGUGAAAUUCCUUCUCCUGGCUCAGAAGCUCCCCCACUGAGGCACCUUGUGACCCCCACUCCUCCCCGCCACAGAACAACCCCCUUUGACUGUAAUUUUCCACUGCCCGCCCAAACCCUAUAAAACGGUCCCACCCCAUCUCCCUUCCCUGACUCUCUUUUCUUCGGACUCAGCCCGCCUGCACCCAGGUGAAAUAAACAGCCUUGUUGCUCACACAAAGCCUGCUUGGUGGUCUCUUCACACGGACGCGCACGAAACUCAGGAUUGUACCCAGUCCACAUAGACAAGUGUGUGCACAUAUGUGUGCUCUGCCUCCUGCCUGCCCUACUACUCUCUGUCCUG